rnacentral:misc_RNA from 1 species
UACGGAGGGCACAAGCGUUGUUCGGAAUCACUGGGCAUAAAGGGUGCGUAGGCGGCUGUGCAUGUCGGUUGUGAAAUCCUUCCGCUUAACGGGAGAAUUGCUUCCGAAACUGCAUGGCUUGAGGAUGUCAGGGGAGAGUGGAAUUCCUGGUGGAGCGGUGAAAUGCGUAGAUAUCAGGAAGAACGCCGGUGCCGAAGGGGACUCUCUGGGGCAUUCCUGACGCUGAGGCACGAAAGCCAGGGGAGCGAACGGG